rnacentral:rRNA from 1 species
CCCUUAGAUGUUCUGGGCCGCACGCGCGCUACACUGAUGCAUGCAACAAGUCUUUUCCUUGGCCGAGAGGCCUGGGCAAUCUUUGAAUAUGCAUCGUGAUGGGGAUAGACGAUUGCAAUUAUUCGUCUUCAACGAGGAAUUCCUAGUAAACGCAAGUCAUCAGCUUGCAUUGAUUACGUCCCUGCCCUUUGUACACACCGCCCGUCGCACCUACCGAUUGAAUGGUCCGGUGAAGGCUUCGGAGGCGGCUUUCUCAAUGUUUAUUCGGCGAGACUGCUGCCAAAGUUGAAUGAACCUUACCAUUUAGAGGAAGGAGAAGUCGUAACA